rnacentral:tRNA from 1 species
GCCAGAGGGCCGAGCCCGGCUAAGAAAGGGGCCGGACUCGAGAUCCGGUGGCCUACGGGCCUCGUGGGUUCAAAUCCCACCCCCGGCG